rnacentral:lncRNA from 1 species
AAUUGAAAAGCAAGUUAAACCAUAAUAAAAAUCCAAGAAUUCAAACAAAUUUAACGUCAAUUUAAUUAUUCAAACCAAAAAUUUUAUAAUAAUGGUUCAUCACAUCCUAGCCAUGCAUGAUGUCAAAAUGAAACGAAUGAAAGUGGAAAGAUAUCACCCAAAAAAAUCGACGAAACAUGUUGAAUUCCACGAUGUUGUUGGCUGCCGAUUUGUUUGCUGUGGUUUGUUCUAUGAAAUCAGUAAACUCUGCAAUUGUCCCUCAAUUCAGCCCUUUUAUCUGCCUCUUACCGUGUAUAUAUGUACAGAUAUCCAGCAAUCUCCCUUUUAAUUUCCAGCAGGCAGCUCGUUUGAUUUCCAGCAGGCAGCUCAUUUGCUCUUAGUCUUCAACUUUCUACAGCAACUCCUUGCUUUUUUGUUUCAAAAGUGCUUUAAUAAAUUUAUAACUCACCUGCGACUUUUU